rnacentral:rRNA from 1 species
GAUGAACGCUGGCGGCGUGCUUAACACAUGCAAGUCGAACGAACAGACGCGGCGCUUGCUCGUCUCUCGUUAGCCGCGCACGUGAGAGACACACGUGUAUCACCUCCUUAUAUGUCUGGUAUCUCUUCGGGAAACCGGCGCUAAUCCCGUAUAAUCUAUUGCUCCGUAUGGUUCAAUAGUAAGAGACGGUUUUGCUGUCUCUUAUAGCUGCUUCCGCGCUGGAUUAGCUAGUUGGUAAGGUAACGGCUUAUCAAGGCAACGAUGCGUAGCCGAACUGAGAGGGUGAUAGGCCACACUGGAAGGGAGACACGGUCCAGACGCCUAAGGGAGGGAGCAGUAGGGAAUGGUACGCAAUGGGCGAAAGCCUGACGGAGCAAGGCGGCGUGAGUGAUGAAGGUGUUCGGAGCGUAAAACUGUGUUAUUAGGGAAGAACAGAUUUGGAAGGAAAUGUGGAGGGAUUGACGGUACCGGAUCAGAAAGCAACGGCUAACUACGUG